rnacentral:tRNA from 1 species
GCCGGUGUGGUGAAAUUUGGUAUACACGACGGAUUCAAAAUCCGUUGCCUUAGUGCUUAGCGGUUCAAAUCCGCUCACCGGCA